GAAGAACGAACUCGAAUAAGAUUUAGUUCGUUAGAUGUUAUCUAUUACCCAUAUAUAGGAUAUAUACUUCUAAGACAAUAUGAUUGUCAAUUAGAAGAUCUUCCAAGAUUUUCAUGACUCCAUAAGAUGUAGUUGGAAAGAAAGACAAAUCUUAAGCAUGUUAAGAUUUGGGGUUGUGUGCUAAUAAGCAAUAUUUGUUUGAUAACAAUCUUGUGGGAUAUCCUUAAAUUAACUUUUGAAUAUCGCUUCUAUAAACCAACUAACAAAUGUUGUUUUGUUGGGUAGUUCAUUGUAAUCCUACAAUGUGAUUUGCCUAAGAGCAAAUGAACGUGAGAUAGAACUCAAAUAAUGGGUUCUUUGAGAGACAAGAAAGUAAUCAACAAAUAUAACAACCUAGUUCCUAUACCACAAGCUCCAAGGUAGUCGAGAAGGAUUUAUAAACCGUCUCAGUAGAAUGGUUUGAACUGUAUGACUAUGUCAUAGAGUUGCACCUCUUAAUUCGAAAGAAAUAGGAAUGAAAAUUCUUAUAACUACAUUGAGUGUAUAUACGAUAUAUACUCAAGGAAAUGGUAAAGUACCAUUUGACCCGAAAUAAUGAAACCUUCAUAGCUAAUUAGUAGCUUAAGGUGCCUACAAUCAAAGAGAAUGGUUGACUUUGAAGAAACCAUCUUUGAGAUAGUCGUGGUUUCAAUUAAUUCGAAGAUUGCUAGCUACAACUAAAUGGUGAUUCAAUGUUUGGACAUAAUAUGGGUUUCCGAAACCAUUAUUAAGAUAGUCUUGAUAAUAUAUGUCUAAUACUAUAAAUCACAAGACAUGUAAGUUGUAGAGAUCCAUCCAUCAUGAAUCUUAGCAAGCUAGUGGGAGCUAUAAGCAUCUUAUGAGAAAAUGAUCAAAUCGUUUGAUUUCUCAUAAAGAUGUAAAUGAAUCUUUUGUUUACUAGGUUUACAAAAGAUUAGUGGGAGUUAAUCAUGUUCCUAAAAUUUAAAUAUAUGAUAUAUUAAUUUUGGAAAUGAAAAGAAUACUUCUUCGUUAAAGUUAUGACUUUAAAACAUUAUAUG
rnacentral:lncRNA from 1 species